rnacentral:rRNA from 1 species
AACGAACGCUGGCGGCAUGCCUAACACAUGCAAGUCGAACGAGACCUUCGGGUCUAGUGGCGCACGGGUGCGUAACGCGUGGGAACCUGCCCUUAGGUUCGGAAUAACUCCCCGAAAGGGGUGCUAAUACCGGAUAAUGUCUUCGGACCAAAGAUUUAUCGCCUUUGGAUGGGCCCGCGUUGGAUUAGCUAGUUGGUAGGGUAAAAGCCUACCAAGGCGACGAUCCAUAGCUGGUCUGAGAGGAUGAUCAGCCACACUGGGACUGAGACACGGCCCAGACUCCUACGGGAGACAGCAGUGGGGAAUAUUAGACAAUGGGCGAAAGCCUGAUCCAGCAAUGCCGCGUGAGUGAUGAAGGCCUUAGGGUUGUAAAGCUCUUUUACCCGGGAUGAUAAUGACAGUACCGGGAGAAUAAGCUCCGGCUAACUCCGUG